rnacentral:rRNA from 1 species
CUACGGGUCGCUGCAGUGAGGAAUAUUGGUCAAUGGCCGGAAGGCUGAACCAGCCAUCCCGCGUGCAGGAUGACGGCCCUAUGGGUUGUAAACUGCUUUUCUACGCAAAGAAAGGUUCCUACGAGUAGGGAUUUGCCGGUAGUGUAGGAAUAAGCAUCGGCUAACUCCGUGCCAGCAGCCGCGGUAAUACGGAGGAUGCAAGCGUUAUCCGGAUUUAUGUGGGUUUAAAGGGUGCGCAGGCGGGGAAAUAAGUCAGUGGUGAAAUGCUGCCGCUUAACGGUAGAAUUGCCAUUGAUACUGUUUUUCUUGAGUGUGGUUGAGGUAGGUGGAAUGUGCAGUGUAGCGGUGAAAUGCAUAGAUAUUGCACAGAACUCCGAUUGCGAAGGCAGCUUACUAAGCCAUUACUGACGCUGAGGCACGAAAGCGUGGGUAGCGAACAGGAUUAGAUACCCUAGUAGUC